AAUUGCGAUUUUUUUACAAACGCUUAAGUGGGUAUAGAUCAUAUUUAAAAGGUAUGAGAUUUAACUGCCAAAACUGACAUGUCAAAUUUUAGUACACAUAAAACGUUUGCCUUACUAAUAAUUCAUUAUGUUCAUGCAUGUCUGAAUUUUUACUAAUAAAUUAAUCAACAUAUAUAAUUUAAUGUAAAACCUUCGUAUAAACCUAAAAAUGGAAGAAACUAGUGUGGAGGGCCCUACUCUGCCCUUUCCCUGGAACCACCUCUACAAUUUUGUAAUCUUCCUUCUUUACAAAGUACUCAAAAUCAACAUAAUACUUAGUCUAAUAUCCAACAUAUUCUGGAUACUGAUGUCGUUUUAUUGUGUUAAAAAAUAUAAUGAAAAAUAUGGCAGCAACGAUUUAAUGCGGUUUGCUUACGUAACGUUUGGCAUUAGCGUCCUUAAUAGUUGUAUGGCCCUCACAGAAUUUUUUUCCGAAAAUAUAAUGACUUCCAUGAGAACACUUCUGGAACUGCUGCAAGCAUCCUUGGCAGUACCUUGUUUAACAACUGAGGUAUGGCUCAAAUAUGAAGUUGCCCAAAAAGAAGUGGCUUGGCUUCACACAGCCGUCGGUUUAAUACCUACGUAUAUUUUUUUAUUUCAACAUUACACGAGACAAGAUCUGAUCGAUUUUGCUAUUGUUAUGAGUAUGCUAUCGCUGCUGGGAGUUGGCUUUAUAUACCGCGACAUUUAUGCAAUAGGAAGCGCUAUGUUUACUUUUUUAGCUUAUUGCAUAUUCUUCUUCAGAAAUGAAAUUUCGUACGACCAAAUGUCGAAGCAGUUCUACAAUUACUGCAUGGCCUUUUUUACAUUUUGUGCGUACAAAAGUGUCAUUUAAAAUACACAAACAAUGGUA